UACAGAGGGUGCGAGCGUUAAUCGGAAUUACUGGGCGUAAAGCGCGCGUAGGCGGCUUUGCAAGUCGGGUGUGAAAUCCCCAGGCUUAACCUGGGAACUGCAUUCGAGACUGCAUUACUAGAGUAUGGGAGAGGGAAGUGGAAUUUCCGGUGUAGCGGUGAAAUGCGUAGAUAUCGGAAGGAACAUCAGUGGCGAAAGCGACUUCCUGGACCAAUACUGACGCUCAUGUGCGAAAGCGUGGGGAGCAAACAGG
rnacentral:rRNA from 1 species